UGUCCCUCUUUAGGUCCUCUUCUUUCCCUCUGCUCCUCUUUAGGUCCUCCUCUUUCCCUCUGCUCCUCUCUGUCCCUCUAGGCUUUCUGUUUAGUUCUUUAUCUGCUAUGCUGUUCUUCUUCUUUCUUCUUCUCCAUUCCACUGUUCUGAAUGCUUUCCUGUCUUCUGCUGAGCUCUGAAAAACUGCUUUCAUCUUUUAGUAGUCUAGUCAGCAUCUUCCAUCUCCUCUCCUUUUUCUCUGUCAUGUUCUAUGCCCAUAGCUUUCAUUUUUCUCUGAAGUCGGCUCUCUUUUCUCGUGUACCUCUUCUUCUCUAUUUAUAUUGACCCUUCCAUGUCUUUUUUCAAAUCUUGCUUUCAAGUCUGUCACCUUUUAUUCCUGUGUGCUUUUACAAACUAGUCCUUUUCUCUCCCUAUAACUUAUUUUCCUUCAUUAUGAACUUCUCUUCAGUAGUGUAUCUUGUAGAACUUCCUGUCCACCUAUCUGUAGUUCUCUAUAAUACAUGCUAAUUAGGAUUUAUAUCGCUAUUCUGUGGCUUGUAGCUUUAACAGUGCUUGUUGCUUCUUUACCCUGUAGCUUUUAGCCUACUCAAUUUCCUCUUCAUUAUUUUGCUUCCAUCUUUGCAUGCCUUUAAAAACUGCUCUCUGGUCAUAGUGAGCUAUUCUUUAGUCUCUUUUCUGUCAUAUUCUUUUGACAUUUAAUAUUGUUCCUUGAAUAAAGUUCAGUGCCAAUCCCUAGAAACAGUGCAAUCAUGUUGAUGGUCAAGUGAUGUGAAAGCAGGAAUUUCAGAUGAGUUGAGAAAAAAAUCAGGACUUUGAAUGUGAUGAAUGUCAAUCUAUCAACUCACUGAACUGUCCCUGUAAUAUGAUUGAUUGUCCAUUGCUGCAGCACUCGUCAUUGCUGUCUCUCAGUUCUGAUCAUAGUUAUCUUCUUCAAUAAAUGCCUUUUUGUCAA